CCCUGGCAUAGGGAGCGAUCUCUGAGCGAGAAGGCAAGAUGCAUGUGGGAUUCUUCCCCAAUCAAGUGGAGAACAGAAUAAUCAGUUCUGCAACAGACAGAAGAAACUACUGAAGCAGCUGAAAUUUGCAGAAUGCCUAGAAAAAAAGGGGGACACGAGCAAAGUAAAUUUGGAAGUUAUAAAGCCUUGGAUAACAAAAAGAGUAAUGGAAAUCCUUGGGAUGAAGAUGAUGUUGUGAUUGAGUUUAUAUUCAACCAGUUGUAAGUGAAGAACCCAGACUCCAAAAUGAUGCAAAUCAACCUGACUGGAUUUUCGAAUGGAAAAAAUGCUCGAGAAUUUGUGGGAGAACUGUGGCUCCUGCUGCUAAGUGCACAAGGAAACAUCGUGGGAAUUCCUUCUGCUUUCCUAGAACUGAAGAAAGAAGAAAUAAAACAAAGACAGACUGAACAAGAAAAAUUCGCAUCUAUGAAAAAGCAAGACAAAGACAAAGAUAAAAGGCAUAGGGAAGAAAAAGAAAGCAGCAGAGAAAAAACAGAGAGGUCUCGUAGCCCAAGAAGAUGCAAAUCUCCUUCCCCUAGAAGACGAUCUUCCCCUGUUAGAAGAGACAAAGCGCAGUCAUCCUUGAUCUCCCCGUCACAGAACCAAGAGCCAGAGUCCUUCUGCUCCAGAAAAGAAGGAAAAACCUCCAGAGCUCCUAGAACCUUCAGUGAAGGUAAAAGAACCUUCAGUAGAACAGGCCCCUUCUACUAGUGACAUUCUGAAAGUUCCCAAACCUGAACCUGUACCAGAGCCUAAAGAACCUUCUCCGGAAAAAAAAAAAAAAAAAAAAAAAUUCCAAAAAAGAAACGCAGAAGGAAAAGACCUGACCACGAUCUCGGACACGCUCCAAAUCAAGAUCCCAGAUGCGGUCCCACUCUCCUUCUCACACUCCACCUAGAUGGCGCCAUAGAUCCUGAUCAAGAUUGUAUUCACCUAGAAGGCGGCCAAGCCCAAGAAGGCAGCCAUCUCCUUGAAGAAGAGCUCCACCAAGAAGAAUGCCUCCUCCACCAAGGCAUAGAAGGAGUAGAUCUCCAGUAAGAUGAAGAAGACGUUCGUCAGCAUCCUUGUCUGGGAGUAGCUCAUCAUCCUCUUCAUCUCAUUCCC